rnacentral:rRNA from 1 species
UGGCUGUUUGGUCMCUAGGCAAUGUGGUGUUCAGGUUAUCUCGCAGUGGUACUGCUUCACCCUAAGUCCAGAAAUGAGUACGGCAAUGGACAUGGCCCAGGGAGGGUGAAAGGCCCGUGGGGGUGAAGACUCAGUUUGGACAGUAUCACUAUGAGUAUACCUUGGAGUCGGGUUGUUUGUGAAUGCAGCCCAAAGUGGGUGGUAAACUCCAUCCAAGGCUAAAUACUUACACGAGUCCGAUAGCGAACAAGUACCGUGAGGGAAAGUUGAAAAGUACUUUGAAGAGAGAGUAAACAGUGCGUGAAACCGCUCAGAGGUAAACAGGUGGAGUUGAACUGCAAGCAUUGAGAAUUCAGCUGGUGAAUGUGUUAUGAGCUUGGGCAUAUUGGUUGGCCUUCGAGGUCUGCUUAGCUGCAGGUCUUCGCCUUUUGGUGAAGAUUCGCGAUACACUUAUCAAGUGUUGUGAGCCUUGUUGGUUAUCGAGCCUGUUCGCCAGUGCAUUUUCUCAUUGUGGUCACCACGACCGGCGCUGCUGUCUAACUGAUGGUCUUAAACAACAGGUUGUUUCAACCACAAAAAUGUUGGCAGGUUGCUCGUUGGUUUACGUGCGAGUCUCGGCUUGUGCGUGCAUAGCUUUCGAGUAUUGACAGCUGACCUUAUUGGUUAUGUGCAGUGCGUCGGAGACGGCGGCUACUGGUGUGUGCAUGCGUGCUUAGUCUUUCAGCGAGUCUGAGUCUGGCUACACGUUGCCUGUAUUUGCAGGCCUUGUGGCGGCUCGUGUUCGUCUGUUGGGCGGCUGCGCCGUGUGUUACCCGAAUCAGGGCCUAUAGUCUGUGGUGUAGUGGUAGACUAUCCACCUGACCCGUCUUGAAACACGGACCAAGGAGAGUAACAUGUGCGCGAGUCAUUGGGCGUUACGAAACCCAAAGGCGCAGUGAAAGUAAAUGUCUGACUUGUUCGGAUUAUGGUGAGAUCCUGUCGUUUCUCAUGCAUGGUACCACCAAGCUGCGAGCGGCAGGCGCAUCACCGGCCCGUCUCAUAACGUAAAUGUGAUUCUUCGAUCGUAUGUC